GGGGCAUCUAAUCCUGGGCUGAAGGUUGGCUUGACCUAUUAGUUAUAGACUUCAGUUGUCCACCUUGAGCCUCUGAUAUACCCAGAAUUCCCAAAUUCAAGCUUUCCUGGGGUUCUUGAAAUCAGGUCAGACUAUCUCCCUUUGCUGAUACUCAUCCAUUCCUGCAUAUUCUUGACCACAAAUUCUUCCACUUGGAUUGUCCACAACGCCUAUAUCUGCUUUCCAUUUUUCAGAAAUGUAUUGACAUCUUAAAUCUACUCAUAGUUGUCUCCUUUCUCUUCUUUGUGGUAAGUUUAUACCUUUAUUAAACCUUUAAGUUUAAUAAUACCUUAUUAUUAUUCCCCUUGCAAUAAAUUAGUGGAGGCUCAGGAAGGAGAGGAGAAGAUGUAUGUCUAAUACAUCACUUAGAACCGUAAGUUAACUGUUUGUUUUAAGUGUAACUUGAUUAUUGAUUCUAGGUUGGGCAUCUUGUGUAUUCAGCAAGUUGGUAUCACUGAAUUUCAAUUUCUCCGUCUGUAUGACGGGUUAGCAUAAAACAGGGCCUGUCUACUUAGAUGGGAUCAAAGGAAAUUAUCACAUGCAUGCAUAAGGGCUUUAUGAAGCCCCAAAACUACACACAGCUAGGGUUUAUUUUAUUGCCUCAGUCUUCUCCCAUGUGUGAUAUGGUUAUUUCAUCUUAUAACCUGCCUCAUAAAGGAGGUUUCUUAAAAACUAUGGACUCUUUCUCUUCUAAACCUGUUUUAUGCUUAGCAAAACAUCAUAGAAUUUUUUAAUCAAGCCCAUUUCUUCAAAAAGGGGUUACUUUUUGGAUCACCUCUAUGGUGCUAUUUUCUUUUUAUUAUUUCAAAAUGUCACAGGCCUUAGCAAAAUUGUCUAAUAGGCAAGACCACGCUACACUGCUUUUUUUUUUAUUAUUAUUAUUUCGUUAAGAAAACCAAUUAGCUGGUAAAAGGAGAAUAAAAGUACCUGUGAAAUCUUUAAUCAAUGUGCUAAUUGAAAAAGUAGUUCAUUUUCCUUGUUGUUGUCAGAUCAUUAGGAUCAUGUUGUAAUUCAUCAGCCUCCAAAGAAGAGGGAGGAAAUGUGAAAUCGCUCAAGCACCUUGGCUCCUGGCUGACUGUGUGUCUGCCAGUUAGCUCCGUGUGUGUGAUCUCGGCCAGGCUCCCUGUGUGUCUGCAGUCAGCUCUCAGGGUGACUACAGGUGGAAGACAACACUUUAUGUCUCGGCAAGGACCGUGGUGUAGAUGAGACCAUUUCGGUGUUCAGACUUAACGAGCCAUAUCGCCUGUAGGUGCCAUGUGCGUGACCGAUGGCGAAGGCGAGGAGAACUCCUUGGGCUGGAACCGAACCAGAGGGAGGGAUCACGGAACCGGGAAGCUUCCGAGAGGAGAGUGCAUUUGGCCAGUCUGACAGUCGGUGCAGAUCGAAGUCAGGCAUUGGGAUUCCAGCGUCAACCCUCUUUGGUUUUCCUUGGAUUGCUGCCGCUCACCAGCUCCGUGACCUCAGGCCAAUACUGACUGUCUCUUGCCUCAGUUUCCCCUUUUGUAAUCCAGAGGAUUGCCUCACGGAGUUGUUUGAGGGUUAAAUGAGUGCAUACGUGAAAAAACCUCAGAAGAGUCUGUCCCACUUAUUUUUUUUUUUUUAAGUGGGAAAUAUCAGAAAGGGAGACAGAACAUGGAAGACUCCUAACUCUGGGAAGCGAAC